UAGUGACUGUAAACGGUGUUGAGUGAUAUUGUUUUCUGUUCUUGUCUUUCUUGUUUGCAGCUUACAGGUGUCUAUGGCUGCGCUGAUAGCACUGUAUGUCAGACAAAUAACAUGUAUUCAGGUGUUGCUGGAAUGACCUUCAGCUCUGGAUCAGUGAUUGCCAAUGCAACUGUAGUCUUCAACACCUCCUCUAUCAAUCACGCAGUUGUCUUUUACUACUUUCAACACAAUGUCAACAAGGUGCAACCCCAAAUUCUCCUGCUGAAUAUGGACUAUACGACCAUCAACAAAAUUAUAAGGACUUCUCUCACAUCUGCUACUACAACUACAACUACCACAACUACAACAAGCACUACCACUACAACACCUACCACAAUGCCCACAACUACAACACCUACCACAACCACAACAACACCUUCAACUACAACA